GCAACCUCCAGCUGGCACGCCAGCAGCCCGUGGUGUUCCGCUCGCUGCUGGGCAUCAGCUGGAUGUGGUUUUUCGGCGCGGUGUUUCUCUCGCAGUUCCCCAGUUUCGCCAAGGAGGUGCUG
rnacentral:ncRNA from 2 species